rnacentral:rRNA from 1 species
AUUGAACGCUGGCGGCAGGCCUAACACAUGCAAGUCGAACGAGUGGCGGACGGGUGAGUAGUGUCUGGGCACCUGCCUGAUGGAGGGGGCUAACUACUGUAAACGGUAGCUAAUACCGCAUACAAUCAGAUGUGGCCAGAUGGACUUAGCUGGUUGGUGGGGUACCGGCUCCCAAAGGGGACGAUCCCUAGCUGGUCUGAGAGGAUGACCAGCCACACUGGAACUGAGAAACGGCCCAGAAUCGUACGGGAGGCAGCAGGUGGGAAUAUGGCACAAGGGGCGAAAGCCUGAUGCAGCCAUGCCGCGUGUAUGAAGAAGGCCUACGGGUUGUAAAGUACUUUCAGCGGGGAGGCGUUACCCGAAGAAGAAGCACCGGCUAACUCCGUGCCAGCAGCCGCGGUAAUUC